rnacentral:rRNA from 1 species
GACGAACGCUGGCGGCGUGCUUAACACAUGCAAGUCGAACGGAAAGGCCUCUUUCGGGGGGUACUCGAGUGGCGAACGGAUGAGUAACACGUGAGUAACCUGCCCUUGACUUUGGGAUAACUUCAGGAAACUGGGGCUAAUACCGGAUAGGAGCUCCUGCUGCAUGGUGGGGGUUGGAAAGUUUCGGCGGUUGGGGAUGGACUCGCGGCUUAUCAGCUUGUUGGUGGGGUAGUGGCUUACCAAGGCUUUGACGGGUAGCCGGCCUGAGAGGGUGACCGGCCACAUUGGGACUGAGAUACGGCCCAGACUCCUACGGGAGGCAGCGGUGGGGAAUAUUGCACAAUGGGUGGAAGCCUGAUGCAGCAACGCCGUGUGCGGGAUGACGGCCUUCGGGUUGUAAACCGCUUUCGCUCAUGACGAAGCUUUGUGUGACGGUAGUGGGUAAAGAAGCACCGGCUAACUACGUG